rnacentral:snRNA from 1 species
AUUGCUUCUCGGCCUUUUGGCUAAGAUCAAGUGUAGUAUCUGUUCUUAUCAGUUUAAGAUCUGAUCCAUCCUCUAUCAGAGGACAAUAUAUUAAAUGGAUUUUGGGACAGGGAGAUGGAAUAGGAGCUUGCUCUGUCCACUCCACACAUUGACCUGGUAUUUCAGUACCUCCAGGAAUGGUGCACCCAAA